AACUAUAAACAGAUGGAGGUGAAAGAAUUGGUUAAGUUUUGAAUAGAAGAUCGAGUAACAAGUGGUACUUACAGAACCUGGAAUUGAUAAUGAAGAGAGGAAAUUAAUAGCUCUUUUCCACAUUUGGACGAUCAGAAUCAUAGUCCUCCGUCUUCUGAAUUCUCCCUUUUACUCUCUUCUCUACAUCAGCUUUAGCUUUCUGGGAUGCACAAUUAAUUUGUCUGUCAUGCCUGAACAACAUUCAAAGACUAUA